UUUUUGAGAUUGCAUCUUUGUUCUAAUGAGCUCUAAUGGGCUAACUAAAGAGGCCGCCCAGAUUCUUGCAGUACUACCAGCCAACACCGGAAUCCAGAAUGGCUGGGCUGAAUUUUUUCCUCCUUUAUUAUAUCUAUCGUUGUACAGCUAGAACCAGUGUGGGACUCAGACCACUCCAUAGAGAUAAGACCCCUUCGGAUCUGCUGAUCUUGGUUAUUGCAUCCUGCCAAAAACGCAUAGUGUAACGAUUUGACAAGUAACUGAGUGGAAUUUUAGACUGAAGCAUUUGAAAAGAUUUUUCACUCACAAGUGUGCCGGUGAAUUUUCCAUUAGCCUGCAUCCAGGGUGGACUUUUGCCAUCCAGGCAAGGACACAAGUGAUCCAUGAGACCAUUGCAAUACAAAAAACAUUUAUUAGAAGACAUGGCCUUCUGUUGCGUUUGUAAACGAAUUUUAACGACAUCCAACGGUGUUACUAAAUUGGUAAAUAAAGUUUAUAACAUUA